AGGGAAAUAGCUCAGUGGUAGAGUGCAUGCUUAGCAUGCAUGAGGUCCUGGGUUCAAUCCCCAGUACCUCCA
rnacentral:tRNA from 1 species